rnacentral:rRNA from 1 species
UGGGGAAUUUUCCGCAAUGGGCGAAAGCCUGACGGAGCAAUACCGCGUGAGGGAGGAAGGCUCUUGGGUCGUAAACCUCUUUUCUCAGGGAAGAACAAAAUGACGGUAUCUGAGGAAUAAGCAUCGGCUAACUCUGUGCCAGCAGCCGCGGUAAGACAGAGGAUGCAAGCGUUAUCCGGAAUGAUUGGGCGUAAAGCGUCUGUAGGUGGCUUUUCAAGUCCGCCGUCAAAUCCCAGGGCUCAACCCUGG